GUCAGCUGCCUCUGACCUAGAAUUAAUGUUUUAAAGAGGUUAGAACUUGUAAAAGUUCAAGUUGACUAGCCUAAGUGUCUUGAACACUACGUUAUUUCUGUUAUCACACCUGCAAAUGAUACCCUAGUUUGCAGCUCUGUG
rnacentral:sRNA from 18 species